UACAAAGGAGAUUUAGAUACGCUAGGAAACUAAUGAAAAAGGAAGAAAAUAAAAUACAAGAAAGGAAAGGGAGAAUAAAACCCUUUAAUACAGGGAUUAACAAGUUGGUAGAAUUCCAACAUAAUUCUUCUGUAACACGGCUCCUUUGGUGGCUAUACCUAGAGAUUAUUUGUGGUCAUUGCUCGGUGUUCUCGGGGCAUGGAUUGUGUAUUCCUUGGGCUUGGGCUUGUG
rnacentral:misc_RNA from 1 species